CCUACGGGUGGCAGCAGUGAGGAAUAUUGGUCAAUGGGCGGAAGCCUGAACCAGCCAAGUCGCGUGAGGGAAUAAGGCACUACGGGUCGUAAACCUCUUUUGCCGGGGAGCAAGGGCGGGGACGUGUCCCGGCCCGGAGAGGACCCGGAGAAAAAGCAUCGGCGAACUCCGUGCCAGCAGCCGCGGUAAUACGGAGGAUGCGAGCGUUACCCGGAUUUAUUGGGUUUAAAGGGUGCGUAGGAGGGCUUUUAAGUCAGCGGUAAAGAUACUGGGCUCAACCCAGGCCGGCCGUUGAAGCUGGGGGCCUUGAGUGGGCGAGAAGAAGGCGCAAUGCGUGGUGUAGCGGU
rnacentral:rRNA from 1 species